GAUGAACGCUAGCGACAGGCCUAACACAUGCAAGUCGAGGGGCAGCACGGUGUAGCAAUACACGGGUGGCGACCGGCGCACGGGUGAGUAACGCGUAUGCAACCUGCCUACUACAAGGGGAUAACCCGUUGAAAGACGGACUAAUACCCUAUAACACAGGGAAUCCGCAUGGAUAUAUUUGUUAAAGAUUUAUCGGUAGUAGAUGGGCAUGCGUUCCAUUAGCUUGUUGGUGAGGUAACGGCUCACCAAGGCAACGAUGGAUAGGGGAACUGAGAGGUUGAUCCCCCACACUGGAACUGAGACACGGUCCAGACUCCUACGGGAGGCAGCAGUGAGGAAUAUUGGUCAAUGGACGAGAGUCUGAACCAGCCAAGUCGCGUGAAGGAAGACGGCCCUAGGGUUGUAAACUUCUUUUGUAAGGGAAUAAAUAGUCUUACGCGCUAAGACGUUGCAGGUACCUUACGAAUAAGGAUCGGCUUAACCCGUGCCAGCAGCCGCGGUAAACAUACUCG
rnacentral:rRNA from 1 species